AGCGAACGCUGGCGGCAGGCCUAACACAUGCAAGUCGAGGGGCAGCAUAAGAAGUAGUAAUACUUUUGGUGGCGACCGGCGGACGGGUGCGUAACGCGUAUGCAACCUACCUUACACAGGGGGAUAACGGAUGGAAACGUCCACUAACACCCCAUAACAUCAGAGACGGCAUCGUCUUUGGUUGAAAUCUCCGGAGGUGUAGGAUGGGCAUGCGUUGUAUUAGGAAGUUGGUGAGGUAACGGCUCACCAAUCCUACGAUACAUAGGGGGACUUAGAGGUUAGCCCCCCACGCUGGUACUGGGACACGGACCAGGCUCCUACGGGAGGCAGCAGUGAGGAAUAUUGGUCAAUGGGGGCAACCCUGAACCAGCCAUGCCGCGUGCAGGAAGACGGCUCUAUGAGUUGUAAACUGCUUUUACACAGGGAUAAACGCGAAUACGAGUAUUCGUUUGAAGGUACCGUGGGAGUAAGGAUCGGCUAACUCCGUGCCAGCCGCCGCCGUAACAC
rnacentral:rRNA from 1 species